rnacentral:tRNA from 1 species
UGGGGCGUGGCCAAGUGGUAAGGCAACGGGUUUUGGUCCCGCUAUUCGGAGGUUCGACUCCUUCCGUCCCAG